AAUCCCUGUGCUUGUCUGAGCGAUUCCCAAUCUGCCAGCUGGUCUGUAGCACCUCAUGCACCUUGAGAAGAGGUGCUCAGCUCCUUCCUAGAGUGCUGGUUUCUGAUGGAGGACUGGAAGGCUCUUACCUAAUUCUACACAGUUAACAUGUCUAUAUUCAAAUCAAACAUCAUUUUCAAAAGCUUGACUCUUACCAAAGAUUACCCGAAAGGCCCAGUCCUGAUAUCUGGGGUUUCUUUAAAUUCCUAUUUAUUUAAAAUCACAUAUUAGUCCCAGCUUCAUACAUGAGCAUUUGAUUUAAAAUCUUUGGCUUUGUCUGUGAAAAUGAGCUCUAAAUGUUCUUCCAGGUACCUUCAGUGCUAAAGAUUGUUCCAGACCUGUAAGUCCUUCCAGAAAAGGGUUCCAUGGCAUGUUUAUUUACUUAUAAAUAGUCUAUUAUGCCAUAGUAGAAUAGUAUAUUUCUAUUUAUGCCAGAUCAGUAAUUUAAUGUCUAAAUCUUAUUUCAAAAUGCCCUUUCUUUUUGCAUGUUUCUAUAGUCUUGCUUUCUGAGGUGAACAGGUAAAUGCUUGCAGCAUUUUAUCCUUGAGGGACUUAUUUAUAGGGCCACUCAAAUUAAAUUAAUGUAGUAAAUAAUUUAGCCGAGUAAAAUGAGUAACAAUCAUUAUAGCAGGUAAACAUUGCACAUCAGCCUGUAUGCCAACAUUCUAGACUCUAGACUGGUUGGUAUCAUUCAGUGGAAAA
rnacentral:lncRNA from 1 species